rnacentral:tRNA from 1 species
AGCUCAAUGGUAGAGUGCUUGCCUUGCAUGCAUGAGGCCCUGGGUUCAAUUCCUCAG